ACGCUGGCGGCAUGCCUUACACAUGCAAGUCGAACGGCCAGCACGGGUGCUUGCACCUGGUGGCGAGUGGCGAACGGGUGAGUAAUACAUCGGAACGUACCUUAUCGUGGGGGAUAACGCAGCGAAAGUUGCGCUAAUACCGCAUACGCCCUGAGGGGGAAAGCGGGGGACCGUAAGGCCUCGCGCGAUUAGAGCGGCCGAUGUCUGAUUAGCUUGUUGGUGAGGUAAAAGCUCACCAAGGCGAUGAUCAGUAGCUGGUCUGAGAGGACGAUCAGCCACACUGGGACUGAGACACGGCCCAGACUCCUACGGGAGGCAGCAGUGGGGAAUUUUGGACAAUGGGGGCAACCCUGAUCCAGCAAUGCCGCGUGAGUGAAGAAGGCCUUCGGGUUGUAAAGCUCUUUUGUCAGGGAAGAAACAGCAGCUCUAACACAGACUGCGAAUGACGGUACCUGAAGAAUAAGCACCGGCUAACUACGUGCCAGCAGCCGCGGUAAUACGUAGGGUGCGAGCGUUAAUCGGAAUUACUGGGCGUAAAGCGUGCGCAGGCGGUUAUACAAGACAGGCGUGAAAUCCCCGGGCUUAACCUGGGAAUGGCGUCUGUGACUGUAUAGCUAGAGUGUGUCAGAGGGGGGUGGAAUUCCACGUGUAGCAGUGAAAUGCGUAGAUAUGUGGAGGAACACCAAUGGCGAAGGCA
rnacentral:rRNA from 1 species